UGAGGAAUAUUGGACAAUGGGUGAGAGCCUGAUCCAGCCAUCCCGCGUGCAGGAAGAAUGCCUUAUGGGUUGUAAACUGCUUUUAUACAGGAAUAAACCACUUUACGUGUAAGGUGUUGAAGGUACUGUAUGAAUAAGCAUCGGCUAACUCCGUG
rnacentral:rRNA from 1 species